rnacentral:rRNA from 1 species
GGAUCCAGACUUUGAUUCUGGCUCAGGACGAACGCUGGCGGCGUGCUUAACACAUGCAAGUCGAACGAGAAGAGAUGAGAAGCUUGCUUUUUAUUGAUUCGAGUGGCAAACGGGUGAGUAACGCGUAAGCAACCUGCCCUCUAGAUGGGGACAACAGCUGGAAACGGCUGCUAAUACCGAAUACGUUCUUUCUGUCGCAUGGCAGAGAGAAGAAAGGGAGGCUCUUCGGAGCUUUCGCUGGAGGAGGGGCUUGCGUCUGAUUAGCUAGUUGGAGGGGUAACGGCCCACCAAGGCGACGAUCAGUAGCCGGUCUGAGAGGAUGAACGGCCACAUUGGGACUGAGACACGGCCCAGACUCCUACGGGAGGCAGCAGUGGGGAAUCUUCCGCAAUGGACGAAAGUCUGACGGAGCAACGCCGCGUGAACGAUGACGGCCUUCGGGUUGUAAAGUUCUGUUAUACGGGACGAAUGGUACGACGGUCAAUACCCGUCGUAAGUGACGGUACCGUAAGAGAAAGCCACGGCUAACUACGUGCCAGCAGCCGCGGUAAUACGUAGGUGGCAAGCGUUGUCCGGAAUUAUUGGGCGUAAAGGGCGCGCAGGCGGCGUCGUAAGUCGGUCUUAAAAGUGCGGGGCUUAACCCCGUGAGGGGACCGAAACUGCGAUGCUAGAGUAUCGGAGAGGAAAGCGGAAUUCCUAGUGUAGCGGUGAAAUGCGUAGAUAUUAGGAGGAACACCAGUGGCGAA